rnacentral:rRNA from 1 species
CCAAUAGCGUAUAUUAAAGUUGCUGCAGUUAAAAAGCUCGUAGUUGAAUUUCGGGACCAAUAUGUCGGUCGUGCCUCGGUACGUACUGGCAUCGUUGGUUUCUCCCUUCUGACGAACCCUGAUGUCAUUUAUUUGGUGUCGUGGGGAAUCAGGACUGUUACUUUGAAAAAAUUAGAGUGUUUAAAGCAGGCUCACGCUUGAAUACAUUAGCAUGGAAUAAUGAAAUAGGACGUUUGAUUCUAUUUUGUUGGUUUCUAGGAUCGACGUAAUGAUUAAUAGGGAUAGUUGGGGGCAUUAGUAUUCAAUUGUCAGAGGUGAAAUUCUUGGAUUUAUUGAAGACUAACUACUGCGAAAGCAUUUGCCAAGGAUGUUUUCAUUAAUCAAGAACGAAAGUUAGGGGAUCGAAGACGAUCAGAUACCGUCGUAGUCUUAACCAUAAACUAUGCCGACUAGGGAUCGGAUGAUGUUAAUUUUUUAAUGACUCAUUCGGCGCCUUACG